UACAGUGUUGAGCCUAUAUCUAUAUAAUGCUUAUCUAGUAAAAAUGUACGCUGCCAAUAAAGAUUGAACUCGAGUCUGGUUUUCCUUUUGUUUUACUCCUGUCUUAGCUAGAUAAACUUGCUCUUAUAUGAUUGCUGAGCAAAGCGGUGCGUAUUCCGGUUACAAUCGUAUUCACUGUCAAAAUGCCCUCAUUACCCUAGCAUAGUUACAAUAACUCGCUUCAUUAGAUUUAUAACCGUAUUGCAAAGCAAGAAAUGCUGUGAACGUGAAACGUGAACCGCCUCCUGAAUGUUUUUUUCCCGUGCACUAUUAUGUGCAGUGUAAGUGGUUUAGACUUUACUAACGCGCCUCUUGCACCUUUUUCUGUUCCGAUUUCGGCAUUUGAUGUCAAUCGUUUGUGACGAGAGGUAAUAAUGAGGUAAGUAGUGCGUUUUUAUUUCUGAUUGAUUUUCGGUUCCAAAAACUUUUUCCUUUUUGUUCUUUCAGUUCAUUCGUUGUAUAUUCACCCAAUGCCCGUGGCCUCCACAGGGCCCGCACUUGGUGUCUGGACACCCGGUUUUCGCCAUUUUUAGGUUAAGGGUCGGAAAUAUAAAUUUGAACCGGAUUCACUAUUGCGUAUUGUAUUGUUUCUAGGCUCUCCGAAAACCACCCUCCGAGACGUUUCUUUAUUUUUUUUCAGCUAUGGUGUCAUGUAUGGGUAUUUUCUUCUUGCUCUGGUGCCUUCCCCCUCUCGACGGAUACUGUAAUAAUUUAU